AACGAACGCUGGCGGCAUGCCUAACACAUGCAAGUCGAACGGGAUCCUAGCUUGCUAGGUGAGAGUGGCGGACGGGUGAGUAACACGUGGGAAUCUGCCCUUUGGUCCGGGAUAACCGCGGGAAACUGCGGCUAAUACCGGAUGCCCUCGCGAGAGGAAAGAUUUAUCGCAAGAGGAGGAGCCCGCGUCCGAUUAGGUAGUUGGUGGGGUAAAGGCCUACCAAGCCGACGAUCGGUAGCUGGUCUGAGAGGAUGAUCAGCCACACUGGGACUGAGAUACGGCCCAGACUCCUACGGGAGGCAGCAGUGGGGAAUAUUGGACAAUGGGGGCAACCCUGAUCCAGCAAUGCCGCGUGAGUGAUGAAGGCCUUAGGGUUGUAAAGCUCUUUUGCCAGGGAAGAUGAUGACUGUACCUGGAGAAUAAGCCCCGGCUAACUUCGUGCCAGCCGCCGCCGUAAUAC
rnacentral:rRNA from 1 species